rnacentral:rRNA from 1 species
UUGAUCCUGGCUCAGGACGAACGCUGGCGGCGUGCCUAAUACAUGCAAGUCGAGCGCAGGAAACUGACGGAACUCUUCGGAGGGAAGGCAGUGGAAUGAGCGGCGGACGGGUGAGUAACACGUAAGGAACCUGCCUCAAGGAUUGGGAUAACUCCGAGAAAUCGGAGCUAAUACCGGAUAGUUCAACGGACCGCAUGGUCCGCUGAUGAAAGGCGCUCCGGCGUCACCUUGAGAUGGCCUUGCGGUGCAUUAGCUAGUUGGUGGGGUAACGGCCCACCAAGGCGACGAUGCAUAGCCGACCUGAGAGGGUGAUCGGCCACACUGGGACUGAGACACGGCCCAGACUCCUACGGGAGGCAGCAGUAGGGAAUCUUCCACAAUGGACGAAAGUCUGAUGGAGCAACGCCGCGUGAGUGAUGAAGGUUUUCGGAUCGUAAAACUCUGUUGUAAGGGAAGAACACGUACGAGAGUUAAUGUUCGUACCUUGACGGUACCU